rnacentral:rRNA from 1 species
UACGGAGGAUCCAAGCGUUAUCCGGAAUCAUUGGGUUUAAAGGGUCCGUAGGCGGAUUAAUAAGUCAGUGGUGAAAGCCCAUCGCUCAACGGUGGAACGGCCAUUGAUACUGUUAAACUUGAAUUAUUAGGAAGUAACUAGAAUAUGUAGUGUAGCGGUGAAAUGCUUAGAGAUUACAUGGAAUACCAAUUGCGAAGGCAGGUUACUACUAAUGGAUUGACGCUGAUGGACGAAAGCGUGGGUAGCGAACAGG